ACGUACAAGCAGUGGGAGCAGACUUGUUCUGUGACUGCGUACCUUUUGUAUAAUGGGUCAGCGACUUAUAUUUUGUAGCAAGGUUAACCGAAUAGGGGAGCCGUAGCGAAAGCGAGUGUUAACUGCGCGUUUUAGUUGCAAGGUAUAGACCCGAAACCCGGUGAUCUAGCCAUGGGCAGGUUGAAGGUUGAGUAACAUCAACUGGAGGACCGAACCGACUAACGUUGAAAAGUUAGCGGAUGACUUGUGGCUGGGGGUGAAAGGCCAAUCAAACCGGGAGAUAGCUGGUUCUCCCCGAAAGCUAUUUAGGUAGCGCCUCGGACGAAUACCACUGGGGGUAGAGCACUGUUAAGGCUAGGGGGUCAUCCCGACUUACCAACCCUUUGCAAACUCCGAAUACCAGUGAGUACUAUCCGGGAGACACACGGCGGGUGCUAACGUCCGUCGUGAAGAGGGAAACAACCCAGACCGCCAGCUAAGGUCCCAAAAUUAUUGCUAAGUGGGAAACGAUGUGGGAAGGCUAAGACAGCUAGGAGGUUGGCUUAGAAGCAGCCACCCUUUAAAGAAAGCGUAAUAGCUCACUAGUCGAGUCGGCCUGCGCGGAAGAUGUAACGGGGCUAAGCAAUAUACCGAAGCUGCGGACGCAUAGUUUACUAUGCGUGGUAGGGGAGCGUUGUGUAAGUGGCUGAAGGUGAACUGAGAGGUUUGCUGGACAUAUCACAAGUGCGAAUGCUGACAUGAGUAACGAUAAUGCGGGUGAAAAACCCGCACGCCGGAAGACCAAGGUUUCCUGUCCCAUGCUAAUCAGGGCAGGGUAAGUCGGCCCCUAAGGCGAGGCAGAAAUGCGUAGUCGAUGGGAAACGGAUUAAUAUUUCCGUACUUGGUAUAUCAGUGAUGGGGGGACGGAGAAGGUUAUGCAAGCAUAGCGUUGGUUGUCUAUGUGAAAGUGUGUAGGGUUGAAUCUUAGGUAAAUCCGGGAUUCUACAUGCCUGAGACACGAGACGAGACUCUACGGAGUUGAAGUUGCAAAUACCCUGCUUCCAGGAAAAGCCUCUAAACUUAUGAUAUAUCGAACCGUACCCCAAACCGACACAGGUGGUCAGGUAGAGAAUACUAAGGCGCUUGAGAGAACUCGGGUGAAGGAACUCGGCAAAAUCGUACCGUAACUUCGGGAGAAGGUACGCCGCUGUUUGUGAUGAGACUUGCUCUCUAAGCGAAUGGCGGCCGCAGUGAAAAGGUGGCUGGGACUGUUUAUUAAAAACACAGCACUGUGCUAAAUCGAAAGAUGACGUAUACGGUGUGACACCUGCCCGGUGCCGGAAGGUUAAUUGAUGGGGUUAGCGCAAGCGAAGCUCUUGAUCGAAGCCCCGGUAAACGGCGGCCGUAACUAUAACGGUCCUAAGGUAGCGAAAUUCCUUGUCGGGUAAGUUCCGACCUGCACGAAUGGUGUAACCAUGGCCACGCUGUCUCCACCCGAGACUCAGUGAAAUUGAAAUCGCAGUGAAGAUGCUGUGUACCCGCACCUAGACGGAAAGACCCCGUGAACCUUUACUAUAGCUUGGCACUGAACAUUGACCCUACAUGUGUAGGAUAGGUGGGAGACUUUGAAGCCGCGUCGCCAGAUGCGGUGGAGUC
rnacentral:rRNA from 1 species